rnacentral:rRNA from 1 species
UACGUAGGGUGCAAGCGUUAAUCGGAAUUACUGGGCGUAAAGCGCGCGUAGGCGGCUACUUAAGUCGGAUGUGAAAGCCCCUGGCUCAACUGGGGAAGUGCACCCGAAACUGAGUGGCUUGAGUGCGAAAGAGGGUCGCGGAAUUCCCGGUGUAGAGGUGAAAUUCGUAGAGAUGUGGAGGAACACCGAUGGCGAAGGCAGCCCCCUGGGCUAACACUGACGCUCAUGCACGAAAGCCGUGG